rnacentral:rRNA from 1 species
UACGUAGGAGGCAAGCGUUGUCCGGAAUUACUGGGCGUAAAGCGCGUGUAGGUGGUGGGACAAGUCUGCUGUGAAAGCGCCUGGCUUAACCGGGCGAGGUCGGCGGAAACUGUCGCACUCGAGGACGGUAGAGGGGGGGGUGGAAUUCCCGGUGUAGUGGUGAAAUGCGUAGAGACCGGGAGGGAACACCUGUGGCGAAGGCGGCCCCCUGG